GAUAGAACGUAGCGAAAUGCGAUACGUAAUGUGAAUUGCAGAAUUCAGUGAAUCAUCGAGUCUUUGAACGCACAUUGCGCCCCCUGGUAUUCCGGGGGGCAUGCCUGUCCGAGCGUCAUUGCUGCCCUCAAGCACGGCUUGUGUGUUGGGCCUCCGUCCUCCUCCCGGGGGACGGGCCCGAAAGGCAGCGGCGGCACCGCGUCCGGUCCUCGAGCGUAUGGGGCUUCGUCACCCGCUCUUGUAGGCCCGGCCGGCGCUUGCCGACACAUCAAUCUUUUUUCCAGGUUGACCUCGGAUCAGGUAGGGAUACCCGCUGAACUUAAGCAUAUCAUAAGCGGAGGA
rnacentral:misc_RNA from 1 species